rnacentral:rRNA from 1 species
CACGUAGGCGGAUAUUUAAGUCAGGGGUGAAAUCCCAGAGCUCAACUCUGGAACUGCCUUUGAUACUGGGUAUCUUGAGUAUGGAAGAGGUAAGUGGAAUUCCGAGUGUAGAGGUGAAAUUCGUAGAUAUUCGGAGGAACACCAGUGGCGAAGGCGGCUUACUGGUCCACUACUGACGCUGAGGUGCGAAAGCGUGGGGAGCAAACA